rnacentral:rRNA from 1 species
AACGAACGCUGGCGGCAGGCUUAACACAUGCAAGUCGAACGCCCCGCAAGGGGAGUGGCAGACGGGUGAGUAACGCGUGGGAACAUACCCUUUUCUACGGAAUAGCUCUGGGAAACUGGAAUUAAUACCGUAUACGCCCUACGGGGGAAAGAUUUAUCGGGGAAGGAUUGGCCCGCGUUGGAUUAGCUAGUUGGUGGGGUAAAGGCCUACCAAGGCGACGAUCCAUAGCUGGUCUGAGAGGAUGAUCAGCCACAUUGGGACUGAGACACGGCCCAAACUCCUACGGGAGGCAGCAGUGGGGAAUAUUGGACAAUGGCGCAAGCCUGAUCCAGCCAUGCCGCGUGAGUGAUGAAGGCCUUAGGGUUGUGAAGCUCUUUCACCGAUGAAGAUAAUGACGGUAGUCGGAGAAGAAGCCCCGGCUAACUUCGUG